rnacentral:pre_miRNA from 10 species
ACACACACACACAUAUAUAUGUAUGUGUGUGUGUGUAUACACACACACAUACAUAUAUAUGUGUGUGUGUGUG